rnacentral:rRNA from 1 species
UAACGCGUAAAGAACUUGCCUCACAGCUAGGGACAACAUUUGGAAACGAAUGCUAAUACCUAAUAUUAUGAUAAUAGGGCAUCCUAUAAUUAUGAAAGCUAUAAGCGCUGUGAGAGAGCUUUGCGUCCCAUUAGCUAGUUGGAGAGGUAACGGCUCACCAAGGCGAUGAUGGGUAGCCGGCCUGAGAGGGUGAUCGGCCACAAGGGGACUGAGACACGGCCCUU